CGGGGGGAGGCAAGCGUUGUUCGGAUUUACUGGGCGUAAAGGGCGCGUAGGCGGCCACCGCAAGUCGACUGUGAAAUCUCUGGGCUUAACCCAGAACGGUCAGCCGAUACUGCGGGGCUAGAGUGCAGAAGGGGCAACUGGAAUUCUCGGUGUAGCGGUGAAAUGCGUAGAUAUCGAGAGGAACACCUGCGGCGAAGGCGGGUUGCUGGGCUGACACUGACGCUGAGGCGCGAAAGCUAGGGGAGCGAACGGGAUUAAAUACCCCGGUAGUCCUAGCCUUAAACGAUGAAUGCUUGGUGUCUGGGGUUUAUAGUCCCCGGGUGCCGUCGCUAACGCUUUAAGCAUUCCGCCUGGGGAGUACGGUCGCAAGACUG
rnacentral:rRNA from 1 species